CACAACUUGUUCCAGCCUUCAACUCUUCUCUCCAACUACGCGAUCCUGUAACGAAUCUCAUUAAGAAAUUCGCUUCAGUAUCGCGCAAAGUUGUUGUUGUUCAUGAUUUCCUAACUUCGUACGUUGUUCAAGAUGUACCACAAAUACCUAAAACAGAAUGCUACUGUUUGCAUACUGUUUCUGCAUUUCUUGCUUUUACUUAUGUUUAUGAUGCUGCCAAACCACCUGUGCCACCUGAAGCUGAAGUUGUACUUGAAAAACUCCCGUCUCUCGACGGGUGUAACUCUCCUGAAAUCCUAGAAUUCGCUAAGAAGCAAAUCAAUGCGAGGGUUCAAGGAGGUGGUAAUAUUUUCAGUACUUCUCGAGUUAUCGAAGGAUUGUACCUCGAUCUACUCGCGAAGAUGAAUCCUUCUAAGGAGUUUAAGCAUUGGGCUCUUGGUCCAUUCAAUCCUGUAGAAAUUGAUGCUACUACCACUGCCAACCGCCAUUAUUCACUCGAGUGGCUCGACAAACAACCAGCGAACUCAGUGAUUUUUGUAUCGUUUGGAUCAACAACUUCGUUAUCUGAAGACGAGAUCAAUGAGCUAGCUUUUGGGCUGGAGCAGAGUCAGCAGAGGUUUAUUUGGGUCCUGAGGGACGCAGAUAAAGGAGAUAUAUUCUCUGGUGAAGUUAGAGAACGUGAACUACCUGAAGGAUACGAGAAGAGGGUAUCGGAAAGAGGAUUUGUAAUGAGAGAUUGGGCACCGCAGUUGGAAAUUUUGGCACAUCCGUCAACUGGCGGAUUCAUGAGUCAUUGCGGAUGGAACUCUUGCAUGGAAAGUAUUUCAAUGGGAGUUCCAAUAGUAGCGUGGCCAAUGCAUUCAGAUCAACCUAGAAAUGCUUUGUUCAUAGCCGAAGGAUUGAAAAUCGGGAUAUUGAUGAGAGAGUGGGAGCGAAGAAACGAAGUUGUAUCGGCUGAAACUAUCGAAAGAGUUGUGAGAACUUUAAUGGCGUCUCCGGAGGGAGAGGAGAUGAAACGGAAUGCUACAGAGCUCAAGGAAGCAGUGAAGUUAUCAGUUAUGGAGGGUGGUGUGACUCAAAAGGAAAUGGAAUCUUUUGUUGCUCACAUCACUAGAUAGAUAUUUUUAAUGUUGAAUGAUUUGUACUUCCCUAUGUUUUUUCUUCUUCUAAUAAAUGUGAUGUAUGUGGUUGUUUGUGUCCACUUAAAAUUUUUUGUCCUGUAUGAAAGAAUAAGUACUACUCCACUUUUAUUUCAUUGAAGCAAAUUUACCCCAACAUUUCUUCCUCCUUUCCAUUCACACUCCAUCUUCCAAAAAAUGACGACCACGACAACAACAACAACAAAUUAUGUAGACCAACAAUGUCAACAACACGACGUUGUUGUUGUCGUUGUUCCUACUGCACAAGGCCAUCUUCAUGCAUCCCUCGAACUCUCUCGCUGCCUCUCCGCCACCUACAAUAUCCCGUUUACUAUGUCAGCACAACAGCUCACAUCCGUCAAGCUAAGUCGCGUGCUGUGAGAUGGGACCCAUUAGAAAUCCCAAACCUAAAGUUCAUUGAUUUCCCGGUUUCGUUCGACCUUCCUCCUCCUAAUCCUGAUGCAUCCAUAAAAUUCCCUUCACAACUUGUUCCAGCUUUCAACUCUUCUCUCCAACUACGUAAUCCUAUAACGGAUCUCGUUAAGAAACUAGCUUCGAUAUCGCGCAAUGUUGUUCAAGAUGUACCACAAAUACCUAAAACAGAAUGCUACUGUUUGCAUACUGUAUCUUCAUUUCUUAUGUUUAUGAUGCUGCUAAACCGCCUGUGCCACCUGAAGCCGAAGUUGUACUUAAACAACUCCCGCCUCUUGACGGGUGUCAUUCACCUGAAAUGGAAGAAUUUGCCCAGAAACAAGUAAAUGCAAGGGUUCCUGGAGGUGGUAAUAUUUACAGUACUUCUCGAGUUAUCGAUGAAUUAUACCUCGAUCUACUAGAGAAGAUGAAUGCUUCUAAGGAUUUUAAACAUUGGGCUGUUGGUCCAUUCAAUCCGGUAGAAAUUGAGACUACUAUCACUGUCAACCGCCACUAUUCACUCGAGUGGCUCGACAAAC
rnacentral:lncRNA from 1 species